GUACUCGCUUCGGCGCUACAUAUACUAAAAUUGGAACGAUACAGAGAAGAUUAGCACGGCCCCUGCGCAAGGAUGACACGCAAAAAAAAAGAUGGUAGAGCACUUGCC